rnacentral:rRNA from 1 species
GUAAUGCCGGAUGUUCCACAUGAUCGCAUGUGAUUGUGGGAAAGAUUCUAUCGGCGUGGGAUGGGGUCGCGUCCUAUCAGCUUGUUGGUGAGGUAACGGCUCACCAAGGCUUCGACGGGUAGCCGGCCUGAGAGGGCGACCGGCCACAUUGGGACUGAGAUACGGCCCAGACUCCUACGGGAGGCAGCAGUGGGGAAUAUUGCACAAUGGGCGCAAGCCUGAUGCAGCGACGCCGCGUGAGGGAUGGAGGCCUUCGGGUUGUAAACCUCUUUUGUUUGGGAGCAAGCCUUCGGGUGAGUGUACCUUUCGAAUAAGCGCCGGCUAACUACGUGCCAGCAGCCGCGGUAAUACGUAGGGCGCAAGCGUUAUCCGGAUUUAUUGGGCGUAAAGGGCUCGUAGGCGGCUCGUCGCGUCCGGUGUGAAAGUCCAUCGCUUAACGGUGGAUCUGCGCCGGGUACGGGCGGGCUGGAGUGCGGUAGGGGAGACUGGAAUUCCCGGUGUAACGGUGGAAUGUGUAGAU